GGAGAAAGGGAACAUGAAAUGACAGUGGAUCAUUAGACUGGGAUUGCCUGCAGCUUGCUAAUUUAUGCAAAUUAAUUUCUUGGCUGAUGUGAAAGGAGAGGGAGCGGGUGCCACUGCUUGGCAAGAAGUCAACAUCGAGCAGCGAAAAGGUUAACUGCUGCACUCUGCUUUGGUGGUCUGGAAAGUUUAGCAGCAUAAGCCAGGGAUGGCUGUGGUAUACCAAGCAACAAUGACAAAGCAACGCAAACUAUGCCAGCCCUCUUCCUGGCAAGGCGGGUAGACAGACAGCCAAUCAGGUCCGUGUUGGCUCUCUCAUAGGCGAAUGGCAUGGCAUGCUGGCCCUCUCGUCGCCCCGCCUCCCCUCCUCACUGCACUGCAGCUGCCCAGAAUGAUUUUAUAAACAUUUUGCCAGUGGAUCAAUACCUGUAUUGAUCAACCAUUGUGAGAGUGAUCCGUCUAAAACCCAGAGCAGCCUAGAGCUCAGAGAUGGGAGGAGCGAAAGAGAGAAGCUGCAGAGAGGAUGGAGAAAGAGAGAGAGUCUGCAGCCACAGUGAAAGGGAGAAGAGGUACAAGGGAAGAGAAGCGAAUCUGAGAGAGAAGCAGACGCAGAGCUGAAGGCAGGUGUGGAGGCAGGUUUCGGACAACGCUGCCAGGCCACUGGGAUUGGGGAGGAACCUAUGAAAAAAACUACCUCUGAACAAAAGUAGCUGGAGUGUCAAAGAUCUGCUGUAUGCCUUGGUGACAACAUGGGACAGAGAAGGCCCAGCACAUACUGCGCUCAUGAGUUCAGUUGCUAUAGUUAAAUCAAAAGCGGAAAUUCCUGAGAAAAUCAAAGACCGCAAGGAAUAGCCUGCAUCCUGGAUACAAACAUUCAUGGAGGAAGUAACAGGAACAUUUCUGAUCAAGGCAAAGGUGAAUAUAUAAUCCAAAACUGAUUUCAAAUUCAAAGAUGAAAAUGGCGGCAAGACGGUAGUGUAAACUGUGGCAAAUAAGAGAUUAUUGCUAUUUUGAACUGAUUUGGAUAAAGCUAGCUUUGGGAUGUUUUUAGACAUUUUGACAAGUCAUUGGAUUGGAUUAAAUUUUUAUUCUAUUUUGAAUUUUGUUGGAAUUUUACUGAACAGACGACUGACUGGGCCACUCAACAACAGCAUUGAAUGUUUGAUUCAAGGCCCCAUGCUGUGCUGCACUGGAGGAGGAGUCAAAAUGCUUUUGGGAUCAUCCUACCAAUGCUAAAGGGAAAUCAAGUUUCCAAUGAUUGAUUUUAAAUGUGACUUCCUUGUGCAUCAUUUUGGAUUCCUCAUUGUGGAUGAGGGAAGAUAUAUUCCUCCAAACUGUGGGGGAGGACCUUGAUGCUCAUAAACUCACUUUGCACUGGUGCUCUGGUGUGGGAGCACUCAGAGAAAAAGGCUUGCACUCUAAAGGUUCACUCUUCUGUAAACAUGCAGUUGAAUGAAAAGAAAAGAAUAAACAUUCUGUACCAAGGACAUGAAGUACCUACAUACAGUUUUGCCUAAUAAACUGUAAAACAAAUGAAACAUUAUUGUGCGGUAGACAAUGCAAAUCGCUCUCUAAGUGUGUGGUAGUACAUAUCCUUGGCUGUGUCCCAAUUCCACACUGCAUACUAAUACAAUAAUAAUGCACUGUGUAUGUUUAAUAGUAUACUGUUUUGACAGUUAGUAUACAAGAAAUGAAUGACAGGAAAUGAUAGAAUGAAGAUGGUCGUCAACAGACUUCAAUUAAACUGUGAUUUCUGGAACUCUACUGCCAUUUUCAAAAAAAUGGCAGUAGAAAAACAACAAGAACAUCAAAUGUUUCACAAAGAUUUAAUUUCUUCAUUGAUUUACUUAUUUUUUGUGUUGUUUUGUGUUUUGAGAUGUUCCUAAAGGUGUCUCACCACCGUCCACAUGCCACACUGAAAAAAAAUUAUAACGUAUCGUGUAUGAAUGUUUGCUGUUUUAGUGUAUUUUAUGACUAUUCCAAUGUAAACAAACUAUACUUAGAACUCAAAGCUCAAUAUAAAUUAAUAUAUAUUGUGGAAUUGUGACACAGCGCUUGACUCAGAGUUAUGUACUUGUACUUCACUUGAGCUCAACUCGUAAGAAGAAUGUAGCUCAGGCACAGUGCAAGUAAUGGUAACCAGGGAGACUCAUUUGGUGUUUAAGUGAAGACAUGAAGAUAAAUAUUACAGAACAAACCUGCUUGUAUCAAAGUUGUUCACAACACACAGAUUAUGUGCUCAGUGCAGCAACAACAAACAUGAAUUUUUGUUACUAUCACUGACUGGUAAACUACAUUGAGUUUAUCAGUUGCAGAAUGCUCUUUCAGCUCAAGGAUGAAUAGAGUUGCAUAGAGAGGAGAAAAACAGCCAAUGGUCACAGGUCCGACAUCUGAUCCAGAUUCAUGAAAACCUGAUCAGAUGUGGAUUAACAUAAACAAAUGUGCCCACAAUAUACUAUAUGAUCGUCAAGGGACCCAAAUAUAGGUAAAAUGCAAUGUUAUUAAGCAAACACAAAAUAUUACAUUUACUAAAGAGAAACCUUUAUAUUUUAUACUACUGAAAUGAGGGGCUAUAUCAAUUGUUAAUCUCAUUGUGUAUGUCACUGUAAUCUAGCACUGAUGAAAGAAAACCAGUGGUCUAAAUCAGUUUGUGCCAUAAAUGAACCAAGCUGCAAAAUUCAAGUCAAAGGCUCACAUUGUAUAAACAGUGUUGAAGCUAAAUAUGGCUGCCAGUCCUCUCAGCCAUGCUCUCAUCUGUUUAGGUUUUGUUUCGGUCAGUAUAUUGAUAUCUUGAAUUGAGUGUGCUAUCUAUUUAUGGAUACUAAAUUGCUACAUAUAGCACCUUCAUCGAGAGCAGUUUCUGAGUUUUUUGUGUAUUAUUUACCACCAGUAUAUGUGGUCAGUACAUUAAAAGUUAUAGAGAAUUAGGCCCAUUAUUUUUGCCCAUUAGGACAAAUAACCAAAUGGCGGAAUAGUUUUAAACACUAAUACUAAACAUUCAAUGGAUUUUACAAAUAUUGGUGCCUUACUAUUGUCUAUAUCAGUUUAAUUUCAAGGAAAUAAACACUUAAGUCUUAAAGCUUAAGUGUUAUCACCUUACACAAAGAAUUCAUGCGCUAUCAAAGCAGCACUGAGACACUGAAUCAUUUUCUUGUUUCCUUUCAUCCUUUUUGUUUGAUUCCUACUCUCAAAAACAAACCUUUGGAUGAGUGCCAAACCAUAAAUUAGGAUCUUCAUUAGACACAUCAAAUCUAAAUUACUUUUCAAUUAACAGGCCAGUCAGCCUGAACUAAUCAACCAAUUAGGCCAUGUGUGUUCACAGAAAAGCUAACAAAAGCGCAUGAGUCCCCUGGGAAAGCAGUAAAACACUGCAGAAGAGUGACAGUGCAAAUGAGAAGCUACUGGUUCAGGAAAGAAAGGCCAGAUCAGAAAGUGGCAGAAGAUACAUGAGACACCAAGAUCACAUCACUAUUCACCCCUGUCAUUUUUUGGGAAAUGAAAUGUCAAGUUAUAAAAAAUAAUUAAAACUGAAAGAAAGUGUGAAAGAACAGAUUCUCAAAGAAAGGGAUACAUUUGAAACAAAAGAAUUUCUAAGAGCUUUGAUCAAUUUGCAUUGUUUAAUGGGUAUACUGCCAGGUUAAUGUUUGUGACCAAUAUUUGUAUGCUAAUGAGUUUUGAUUGAAAGGCAUAUUGUUCCUCUGAUGAUAACUUACAUUGUGUUAAAGCAUCAGCUGGCACUGUUACAAACUAAAUAAACACUGGGCACAAAAACAUAAACUGCUCCUAAACCUAAACAGUCUGUUUAACUUAAUUUGAUUAAGGAAAUUGUAUCAAUGCAGGUAAUGCAUUUCUUUUUCAUGAUUAUCAUGAUAUGGAACAAAAUAUACGUUUUAUAUUUAUAUAUAUAUUGUUUUUCUGCAGAUCGAACAGAAUAUGAUGGUGUGUAGUGACUGUA